rnacentral:rRNA from 1 species
GACGGAGGAUGCUAGUGUUAUCCGGAAUUACUGGGCGUAAAGCGUCUGUAGGUGGUUUAACAAGUCUAUUGUUAAAAAUUGAAGCUUAACUUCAAAGAUGCAAUGGAAACUUUUAAACUUGAGUAUGGUAGGGGUAGAGGGAAUUUCCAGUGGAGCGGUGAAAUGCGUAGAUAUUGGAAAGACCACCAAUGGCGAAGGCACUCUACUGGGCCAUUACUGACACUGAGAGACGAAAGCUAGGGGAGCAAAUGGG